rnacentral:misc_RNA from 1 species
GGCAGCGGGCUCGCCCGCUACCCGACGAUCACGGCCCCCCUCACGGGGGGUACCCCCCACCCUUGUGUAUUAUACCUUUGUUGCUUUGGCGGGCCGCGUCAAGCCACCGGCUCACGCUGGUGAGCGCCCGCCAGAGGCCCCAACUCUUGAUUUUAUGAUGUCUGAGUACUAUAUAAUAGUUAAAACUUUCAACAACGGAUCUCUUGGUUCUGGCAUCGAUGAAGAACGCAGCGAAAUGCGAUAAGUAAUGUGAAUUGCAGAAUUCAGUGAAUCAUCGAAUCUUUGAACGCACAUUGCGCCCCGUGGUAUUCCGCGGGGCAUGCCUGUUCGAGCGUCAUUAUGACCAACAUCACGCCUGGCGUGGUCUUGGGGCUGGCAACUCUGCCGCCCUCAAACGCAGUGGCAGCGCCGCAUGGCUCUUAGCGUAGUAAUACUCCUCGCUAUAGGGUCCUACGGUUGCCCGCCAGCAACCCCCAAUCUUUACAGG